UACGGUGGGUGCAAGCGUUGUCCGGAUUUAUUGGGUUUAAAGGGUGCGUAGGCGGCUAUUUAAGUCAGUGGUGAAAUCCUGCAGCUUAACUGUAGAAUUGCCAUUGAUACUGGAUAGCUUGAGUACAGACGAGGUAGGCGGAAUUUAUGGUGUAGCGGUGAAAUGCAUAGAUACCAUAAAGAACCCCUAUUGCGAAGGCAGCUUACUAGGCUGUAACUGACGCUGAGGCACGAAAGCGUGGGGAUCAAACAGG
rnacentral:rRNA from 1 species